rnacentral:snRNA from 1 species
GUGCUCGCUUAGGCAGCACAUAUACUAAAAUUGGAGAAAAUUAGCAUGGCCCCUGUGCAAGGAUGACACGCAAAUUCGUGAAGUGUUCCAUAUUUUU